GGGCGAAUAGCUCAGUUGGUUAGAGCGCCGGUCUCACAUGCCGGAGGUCAGAGGUUCGACUCCUCUUUCGCCCA
rnacentral:tRNA from 1 species